rnacentral:lncRNA from 1 species
CCGCCCCAAAUCCUGCCCAGGGACCCGCGCAGCUUCAUGGGGGUCAUCGGUCAGUGCGACCCCUCCCCAAAUUCACCUGAUACCCCUAACCCAUCCCCUGGGACCCUAUAACCACCUGGGACCCCCAAAUCCUCUCCAAAUCCCCUCCCGAACCCCCCAAAACUGCCCAGACCCCUCCCCAAAUUCAUCCCAAAUCCAGAGGGGGAAAAAGAGGGGCUGGGAAGGCGAUUUGGGGGCGGAUUUUGGGUGGAGUUUUGGGGGAAUUUGGGGGAAUUUCGAGAUUUUGGGGAUUUUGUGGGGAUCUCAGGACCCCCCGGGAUCCCUCCCCAGACCAGGCCACCCUGGAGGAAGCUUCCAGCAAUUUCCGCCGGACGCUGAACAGGGUCAUGACCCAGGACCUGCAAGAUGGGCAGAUUCACCAGGAGCUGCUCUGGGCCAUGAGAGAGAUCAAGGAGGACUUCGAGCGGCUCAUGAAGCGUUUCCAGAGCCAGGGUGGGACCCCAAAACCCCCCCAAAACACCCCAAAAAUCCCUCCCCAAAUUCGCCCUUGGAACCCCAAAAAAUUUCCCCCGAAUUCUUCCCAAAAUCUUCAAAAAUCCCCCCAAAAAUUCCUCAUAAAUCCCCUCUAGGAACCCCCAAAUUCUCCUCCAAAUUCCCCCCAAAAAUCCCCCAAAUUCUCCCCAAAAAUUUCCCCCAAAAUCCCCCAAACCCUCCCCAAAACUCCCACCCCCAACCGCCCAUUUUAACCCAAUUUUCCCUUUUUCCGCAGUUUAUUGCCCCAAUAAAUGCGGUAAGCGGGGCCGGGGGGGUUCGGGGGGGUCCCGGGUGGUCCCAAAAAUCCCAAAUUUUUCCCAAAAUCGCCGGAAUUUGCCCCAAAAUCGCGCAGGGCGGAUGGAGGUGCUGUGGAUCGAGUGCAUCUUCUGCAACCUGACCCGCUUCG